rnacentral:lncRNA from 1 species
AUUGCAGUAAACCAGUUUAUACUUAUAUCGUUCUUUGAUUUCUCUUAAAAAAUUUAACACAGGCUACAGAGAUUAAGUUGGCUAUUUCAAAAAAUAACUUUGGGAUAUAUGCUUAACAUUUUACCUUUCCUGUGCUUACAGAAUGCUUUUGGCUCAAAAGGGCCUUUCUAUUUUUGUAUUUAUCCUUUAUAGGGUAGAAUUCUUACUUUGUGUAAGAUCGAUAAUUCUUACUUUGUGUAAGAUACUAUCGAUAAGCUUUGUUCCUCCACAAGAGCCAUGAAGGCAGAUAUUCUGUCCUUUCUAAUCUUUGUGCAGCUGGCAGAAGAAAAGGUCGUGUGAUCCCACUGUGUCCCAACCUAAGAUUUUCUGCCCCUGCUUUCUCACACUAAUAGGUAACAUUUAUACACCAUUGUAAUUUUUAUUUUUAAUUGGUUUGUUUUCAAUUUUAACAGAGGAUUUCACCAGUGCAAAGUGCAUUUCAUUUUUGAUGAGCAGGGAAAAUAUAACCCUUUGACAAGCACCCAGGAAUAUUCUGUGAAAAAGACUAAGAUAUCAGAGAAAUUAUUAGUGCACAUUAUUAGAAGAGAGCUUCAGAUGAAAAUAAAGAUCAAGAAAAGACUCUUGCUUUGAGAAGACACAAAGAAAUCACAUCAUCUUAUUGGGAUUACUGGCUAGCCAUAUGCAGAAGAUUGAAGCUGGUCC